GUCCCCAUCGUCUAGAGGCCUAGGACUAGAGGCUUUCAAUCUCUCAACAGGAGUUCGAAUCUCCUUGGGGACGCCA
rnacentral:tRNA from 1 species